UACGUAGGUGGCGAGCGUUAUCCGGAAUUAUUGGGCGUAAAGCGCGCGCAGGCGGUUUCUUAAGUCUGAUGUGAAAGCCCACGGCUCAACCGUGGAGGGUCAUUGGAAACUGGGAGACUUGAGUGCAGAAGAGAAGAAUGGAAUUCCACGUGUAGCGGUGAAAUGCGUAGAGAUGUGGAGGAACACCAGUGGCGAAGGCGACUCUUUGGUCUGUAACUGACGCUGAGGCGCGAAAGCGUGGGGAGCAAACAGG
rnacentral:rRNA from 1 species